GAGGAAUAUUGGUCAAUGGGCGAGAGCCUGAACCAGCCAAGUAGCGUGCAGGAAGACGGCCCUAUGGGUUGUAAACUGCUUUUGUAUGGGGAUAAAGUCAGUCACGUGUGAUUGUUUGCAGGUACCAUACGAAUAAGGACCGGCUAAUUCCGUGCCAGCAGCCGCGGUAAUACGGAAGGUCCGGGCGUUAUCCGGAUUUAUUGGGUUUAAAGGGAGUGUAGGCUGGAGAUUAAGUGUGUUGUGAAAUGUAGACGCUCAACGUCUGACUUGCAGCGCAUACUGGUUUCCUUGAGUACGCACAACGUUGGCGGAAUUCGUCGUGUAGCGGUGAAAUGCUUAGAUAUGACGAAGAACUCCGAUUGCGAAGGCAGCUGACGGGAGCGCAACUGACGCUGAAGCUCGAAGGUGCGGGUAUCGAACAGGAUUAGAUACCCUGGUAGUCCGCACAGUAAACGAUGGAUGCCCGCUGUUGGUACCUGGUAUCAGCGGCUAAGCGAAAGCAUUAAGCAUCCCACCUGGGGAGUACGCCGGCAACGGUG
rnacentral:rRNA from 1 species